UUGUCCCUCUCUGCUCUGCCCUCCUGAGGCCCCAUCUGCAGUACUGCAUCCAGGGGUGGGGCCCCAAUACAGGAAAGGCAGGGAGCUGUUGGAGAGGGUCCAGAGGAGGACACAGAGAUGCUCAGAGGGCUGCAGCACCUCCCCUACAAAGACAGGCUGAGGGAGCUGGGCUUGUUCAGCCUGGAGAAGAGAAGGCUGCGGGGAGACCUCAUUGCAGCCUUCCAGGACCUCCAGGGAGCCUCCAAACAGGAGGGGAGGCAACUCUUGGAAAGGGCAGAUAACAGCAGGACGAGGGGAAAUGGUGUGAAGUUGAAGGAGGGCAGAUUGAGGUUGGAUGUGAGGGGGAAGUUCUUUGCUAUGAGAGUGGGGAGGUGCUGGAACAGCUGCCCAGAGAGGCUGUGGAUGCCCCGUCCAUCCGUGGAGGUGUUGAAGGCCAGGUUGGAUGGGGCCCUGG
rnacentral:lncRNA from 1 species